rnacentral:rRNA from 1 species
GAACCAAAAAUGCAAGUCGAACGAGAGACCUUCGGGUCUCUAGUGGCGAACGGGUGAGUAACACGUAGGGAACCUGCCCGCGCACCGGGAAUACGCUCUGAAAACGGAGAACAAAUCCCGAUGUACAGGAAGGAGGCAUCUUCUUUCUGUGAAACAUCCUCUAGGGGAUGGGGCGCGGAUGGACCUGCGGUGCAUUAGUUGGUUGGCGGGGUAAAGGCCCACCAAGACGAUGAUGCAUAGCCGGCCUGAGAGGGCGGACGGCCACAUUGGGACUGAGACACGGCCCAGACUCCUGCGGGAGGCAGCAGUAGGGAAUUUUCGUCAAUGGGCGCAAGCCUGAACGAGCGAUGCCGCGUGAGUGAAGAAGGCCUUCGGGUCGUAAAGCUCUGUUGCGGGGGAAAAAAGGCAGCAUCAGGAAAUGGGUGCUGACUGAUGGUGCCCCGCCAGAAAGUCACGGCUAACUACGUGCCAGCAGCCGCGGUAAUACGUAGGUGGCGAGCGUUAUCCGGAAUGAUUGGGCGUAAAGGGUGCGCAGGCGGUCCUGCAAGUCUGGAGUGAAACGCAUGAGCUCAACUCAUGCAUGGCUUUGGAAACUGGAGGACUGGAGAGCAGGAGAGGGCGGUGGAACUCCAUGUGUAGCGGUAAAAUGCGUAGAUAUAUGGAAGAACACCAGUGGCGAAGGCGGCCGCCUGGCCUGUUGCUGACGCUGAGGCACGAAAGCGUGGGGAGCAAAUAGGAUUAGAUACCCUA